UCUUCCGUAGUAUAGUGGUCAGUAUAUGAGCUUGUCAUUGGUUGUCCUGAGUCAAUCAGGUACAAAUAACUUCGCUCGGGACCUGGGUUCAAUUCCCGGCGGGAGAG